rnacentral:rRNA from 1 species
GAUGAACGCUGGCGGCGUGCUUAACGCAUGCAAGUCGAACGCAUCCUUCGGGGUGAGUGGCAGACGGGUGAGUAACGCGUGGGAACGUGCCCUUCAGUUCGGGAUAACCCAGGGAAACUUGGGCUAAUACCGGAUACGUGCGAGAGCAGAAAGAUUUAUCGCUGAAGGAUCGGCCCGCGUCUGAUUAGCUAGUUGGUGGGGUAAUGGCCCACCAAGGCGACGAUCAGUAGCUGGUCUGAGAGGAUGAUCAGCCACAUUGGGACUGAGACACGGCCCAAACUCCUACGGGAGGCAGCAGUGGGGAAUAUUGGACAAUGGGCGCAAGCCUGAUCCAGCCAUGCCGCGUGAGUGAUGAAGGCCUUAGGGUUGUAAAGCUCUUUCGUCCGGGACGAUAAUGACGGUACCGGAAGAAGAAGCCCCGGCUAACUUCGUGCCAGCAGCCGCCGUAA